rnacentral:rRNA from 1 species
GACGAACGCUGGCGGCGUGCCUAAUACAUGCAAGUCGAACGCAGGGGGGACGGGUGAGUAACACGUGGGUAACCUCCCAUCAGAGGGGAUAACACUUGGAAACAGGUGCUAAAACGAUACUGAUGGAUGGACCCGCGGUGCAUUAGCUAGUUGGUGAGGUAACGGCUCCCCAAGGCCACGAUGCAUAGCCGACGUGAUAUGGGGAUCGGCCACAUGGGAACUGAGCCACGGCCCAGGCUCCACGGGACGUCAGCAGUAGGGAAGCUUCGUAAAGGGACGAAAGUCUGACCGAGCAACGCCGCGGGAGUGAGGAAGUUUUUCGGAUCGUAAAACUCUGUUGUUAGAGAAGCGGUAUCUAACCAGAAAGCCACGGCUAACUACGUGCCAGCAGCCGCGGUAAUAC